UGGUGGGUAGUUUGACUGGGGCGGUCUCCUCCUAAAGAGUAACGGAGGAGCACGAAGGUUGGCUAAUCCUGGUCGGACAUCAGGAGGUUAGUGCAAUGGCAUAAGCCAGCUUGACUGCGAGCGUGACGGCGCGAGCAGGUGCGAAAGCAGGUCAUAGUGAUCCGGUGGUUCUGAAUGGAAGGGCCAUCGCUCAACGGAUAAAAGGUACUCCGGGGAUAACAGGCUGAUACCGCCCAAGAGUUCAUAUCGACGGCGGUGUUUGGCACCUCGAUGUCGGCUCAUCACAUCCUGGGGCUGAAGUAGGUCCCAAGGGUAUGGCUGUUCGCCAUUUAAAGUGGUACGCGAGCUGGGUUUAGAACGUCGUGAGACAGUUCGGUCCCUAUCUGCCGUGGGCG
rnacentral:rRNA from 2 species